UCUGGUCUAGUGUGGACAGGGCUUUAUUAACAAACUUUAGUGAACUGUGAUAGUAGUUGUAUAAAACUGAUAGAUUCAAUGCUUGUCUUGACUUGUGGAUCUGCUGUUACAGGAACAAUGAACCUGAAGGAGAUUCUGAUGAGUCAGAAGUGGAGGCAGAUGGAGAAGAAGCUGAAGAUGAAAGCAGUGGAGAAUCUGCUGAAGUUGAAGAAGGCUCAGAAGAGGCAGAUAGUGACGAAGAAGGGAGAGAGGAAGAGGAGGAAGAAGGUAGUGAUUAUGACGAAGAAGAAGAAGAAGAAGCAGGUCUAGCGUAUCUACAGAAAAGUAACUUAGAGGACGACGAAGAAGGGCCGGCAUUCAACCCUGCCGGAGAAGAUGGUGAAUCAGAGGACAUAGAAGACGAUGCCGACGAGGAAGUGGUUGAACUUCUUGGUGGCGAGCAGGCGACGAGAGGAAAGAAGAGAAAGAGAGACGUUGAAGAUGUAGGAGACAGGGAGAGAUGAAGGGGUGAAAGAUAGAUGAUGCGUGAACUGUUUGUUAGUUGGUUGAUACGUUCUUUUGCUGUUCCACUACGUGGGGUACUUGUGAAUAUCAGCGACGCCGGAGUGUUUGUUCUAGCGCGGGUGUUGUGCGUGCAUAGACAUAGAUACAACAGUAGAUUGAAUGUGAAAGCCUGCAA